rnacentral:misc_RNA from 1 species
AAAAAAAAAAAAAACCGACCUUUCUAUUCCUAUCCUCCUUAGGACAUCUUUGAUUUAUUUGGAAAGAUUUUAGCUUUCAGGAUAUGAGUGCUUUUUGUAUCAAAGAUUUGCUGUUUGCAUGACUUCUUCUAGCUGACUUGCUGACUUCUAGUUCUAGAGCAACAAAAUCUGUUGCAUUUCAAAUUAUACUCCUCGCACAGUUGAGACUCCUAGGUUGACAGUUGUCAAUUCCUACUCCUUUUCCUAUCAUUGAUGAGCAUAACCAUAAGUAUUCACUAAGCCAUUUCUGGUGCUAAGUGGUGGUUAAAAUGCUAGUAGAAUGUAAAUGCUUGUUUCCUAGCAUGCCAAUUUUGGCCGAUAUUUCAUUGCAACUCUCUGGAUUAAAUAAAUUUGACUUCCAUGAAUAUAUGCUGUAUAAGAUAAUAUCUAUUCAUUCCAAAAUGAUGUUUUGUGGAAUAAAUUAUUUGUCAGAUUUCUAGUAAAUUGUUGAGCUUUGAAACUCAAUUUUGAAGCUAGGUAAGUUCAAAUAUUAUAUUGCUGUCUUCCAUGCCAAAUUAGAUGUAUUUGAACUUUUAGAUUUCAAAAUCUGGUUGAAGUUUGGACAGGCGAACCAAAUUAUGAUUUAUGUUAGAAAUGAAGCAUCUAUUAGAUCCGCAUUUGUAAAACUUAAACUCUAUCACUCAGAAUCUGUGGAAUUAUAAUGUUAUUAUCUAUAGAAAUUUACAAUGCUCUAAAGUAUAGGUUCACUUAAAGUUAAUCGAACAGCUUGUAUCCAGGCUCCUUUUUCAGUGGAUCUUGCCUCUGCCAUGAAUUUUUUUUUUUUUUCUU